UACGUAGGGUGCGAGCGUUGUCCGGAAUUAUUGGGCGUAAAGAGCUCGUAGGCGGCUUGUCACGUCGGUUGUGAAAGCCCGGGGCUUAACCCCGGGUCUGCAGUCGAUACGGGCAGGCUAGAGUUCGGUAGGGGAGAUCGGAAUUCCUGGUGUAGCGGUGAAAUGCGCAGAUAUCAGGAGGAACACCGGUGGCGAAGGCGGAUCUCUGGGCCGAUACUGACGCUGAGGGGCGAAAGCGUGGGGAGCGAACAGG
rnacentral:rRNA from 1 species